GAUGAACGCUGGCGGCGUGCCUAACACAUGCAAGUCGAGCGAACGGACCAGAACUUUGCUCUUCUGAUGUUAGCGGCGGACGGGAGCGUAACUCGUGGACAACCUACCUAUACGACUGGGAUAACUUCGCGAAACCGGAGCUAAUACCGGAUAAUAUUUUGACCCGCAUGGUUCACACGUGAAAGACGGUCUUUCUGUCACUUAUAGAUGGAUCCGCGCUGCAUGAGCUAGUUGGUAAGGUAACGGCUUAACAACGCAGCGAUGCAUAACCGACCUGAGAGGGUGAUCGGCUAGCCGGGAAGAGAGGCAGAGUCCAGACUCCGGCGGGGGGAAGCGGUAGGGAAUCUUCCGGGAGGGACGAGUGGGGGACGGAGCAACGCCGCGUGAGGGAUGAAGGUCUACGGAUGGGAGAGCGAUGUAAGUAGGGAGGUAGAAAAGUGUAAGUAACUGUGCAGAUAAUGACGGUACCGAAACAAAAAGCCCCGGCUAACUACGUG
rnacentral:rRNA from 1 species